CUCUCUCUCUCUCUCUCUCUCUCUCUCUCUCUCUCUCUCUCUCUUCUGGAGAAUUUUCCGGUGAGUUACAUUUCGUUCUGAUACUUGAUUCGAAAGCAGUAAAUAAUAUCAGAAUUGUGGCAGAAAGGUGCAAUUUUUUUCUGAGGAUGUUGAUGAAGUGAUGAUAAUGUGAAUUCAGAUUCAAAGUUGUAAUGCUCAUGAGUACAUAAACUAUUUAUUUAUCACGGCAUGGAUUCAUCUGGUAAGAUUUGAAGUCUGGA